GUCAGAUUGAGCUGCCAGGAAUGCACAUGAUAUAUCUUCCCCACGCUGAAGACAUCAGACAUGUUAAAGAGCUUUAUUCAGAUUCUAAUGGUGCUGCACCAAAAGCAAUUGAUGAUCAAAUUGAGAAGGCUACUGCUUUAAUGGAACGUAUCAAUUUGAAAGAUUUUUCAGUAUGCCAAUGUUGCAUAAUUGCAUUGCACUUCUGUAACUUUAAAAAAGAGAAUAAUACUCAAGGUUUAGUAUUUUAUUUCCUAACAGCUGGUUGUCAUGUAUACCUUUCAGGUCUUGAUUUAUAUUGAAUAUCACUUUAAAGGAAAUUCUCGUUGUUCUAAUAACUGUGUUAGACCUGCCGGUCUUAUCAGUUCAAAUAUGAACAAGGAUCCAUACUAGUCCACACCACAAACGGAAUUUCUUAUUGAAAUUUGUGAAAAUCAAAGGACUAGAGGUUCAACCGCCAAAACUAGUUUUGAUCCCGAGCUUAGGAAACCAUGGGAAUGGUGGAAGGUCAAGAAAUGGACGAUUCACAUUUUAUGUAGGCUGUACACUUGGUAAGUUCCUAUAUUUGAAACAUAUUAAAAUAAGUAUGAGGCUUGCAGCAGGAGGCAUUUUGACUUUUCAUUGCCAUUUAAAGUCUUAUUUUACUCAUGUUUGUAGAUUUGAACCAUCAAAACCCAGAAAACAAAGCUUUUGCUCAAAUGUUUCAUUAGAAAUAUGUUGGAAAGAUCUUGGAGUGUCACAUAAAUUUGCUUACUGUGAUUCGUGUUGGUGGCUAUUUACCCGAUAGAGUUAUCAACCUUAUUCUUCAGUACAUAAGCAACAGAAUGAUACGAUCAUAGCUUUGUAAGGCUCAUAGAGGACCAGUUCAUCUUACACCACACUUCCAAGCUAAGAGCAUUGUUACACUUAUGCAUUUAGCUACAGUGCCAAUCUUGAACUCAAUGGAGCUCUUUCCCAAAAGUUCUCAAAAGCAAUUGGCAAAAAUGAGGAUGACUCUGAAAACCCCUGGUAUGAAUAGAUAUGAGAGUUGGAUAUUCUGAUGGUUCUUGGGGAAUCUGCGGAGUUCUCUUCUUCAAAAGGACUUCAAGGCAUGAUGAUUUCAGGUUUAUCGAUGACAUAAAAGAUCAGUGUGACUAACAUGUUAAAAUUGAACUGGUUACUUCAAAUUAUGAAAGACAACAUCUUUGUUCUUUUUCACGUUGGUAUGUAAGUAAAAGGCAUCAUUUUCUAUGAGAUAUGCUGCAAAUAUUAUGUCCUUAACAAUUGUUUGGUCUUGUUAAUGUUUUAGGCACUGCACUGUAAAUGUGAUUUAAUUCAUAUCUAACCUUCUACCCAGCGGGAUUUUAUUUCAGAAAUAUGCUGAUACUAAAAUGGAGCCAACAUUUUCAAUUUUUAGUCUAGUUUUGUUGAUUGUUUCCAUAUAAAAUAUGUUUUGUUUUCAG